ACCAUGCUAGGUACUGUGGGGAUAGAAAGGAGAGAGAGUACGGCUCCUGCCUUCACAGAAUGGUUCACACAAGACCCAAAGUGGAAAGUGUUCUACUGGAGGCUCUCAGAGGAGGGACCAUCUGAGUCCAAGUGGGGUGGUGUCAGCAGACGUCACAAAGGCUGUGUUUGUGACGUUCACACUGGCCCUUUUUAGGCGUAGACGUGGGAGACAAGGAAAUUUAAAUCUAAAAAAAUCAUAAGAACAGGAAGUGAAGAAAGUCCAUGGUGCUCAGGAACUGUGGAAUUGGCACUCAAUAUUUACUGAAGCACAAAAAAAGGAAAGGAGAGAAGGAAGAGAAGAACUUGUUCUGGACUUUGAAAGGCAGAAGUACGUUGUACAGGCAGAAGAAACAUGAAGAUGACAAUUAGCAACUUAUAAUUGAGAGACCGUUGUGUGAACUUCUAAGUCUAGCGCUGGAGAUGCCUGGCAGCUUUUACUCUUGCCCUGUUGGAAAUCUACACCCGCUAAGUGAAGAAGACUGAGGUCAUCUGGAGACACAGAUGACAGAUGACAACCAGCACUACACCCUAGAGAUGUGAAUGAGGCCACCUUACACCAUUCAGCUCUAGUUACGUCACCAGAUGACCAGAGGGAGUCACAUGAGGGACCCAAGUUACAGUAAAACCUUGGAUUGCAAGUAACAUGUUCUGUG